ensembl:lncRNA
CUCUCUCUCGGUUCUUUUUUUUUAACUGGGUGUGGUUCUUUCAGGCCAAACUUGUGUGAAUGAUGCAGGCUCUGCAGCCCGGGCUGCACCCACACCCUUCUUUCAACUUAAAGAGACUCUGAAGGAGGUGGAGCAAACGUGUGUCUGGAGCUCCGCUUGGGCUGGGAUAUGAACUGGGAGACGUCUGAGAGGGCAACAUGUGUUACGCUGCCUGCGUUGUGUGUUGUGUUGCGUGAGUGUGCGUCUGACUGAGUGCAUAUGUGUGCAUGCAUUGUACGCCGCGGGUGUUUGGACCGACUUAGAGGCGCCGUACUGUAAAACUUUCUGACCUGUUGAUUUAUCUUCACUAAAAAGGGCCCGUGAAAGAUCUGUCGGUGAGCCAGCCCCCAAACCACCCAUAACGCAGUCUGCGGUCGCCAUUCAGCACUCAUAAACUACAAAGGACUGAGUGAAGAUUACUUUUAAACGCUGCUUUUUCGGGGUUUUUUUCAUACACGCCCAACUCGUUGAAAUGAACGGGCAAAUGAGACUCCCAACGCAAGUGGACCAAAGAAGAAAGAGAAGUGUGAGUGGAGAGCAUGAGUCAUGUGCUUCCUGCUGUUAUGAGCGGCCCUGGUGGUCUGGAGCCUGGCCAGUCACAUUUCAACUCGAUUAGCCGUCUGGUAGCGGCCACGGCCGAGGGGCAGGCACAAGUAAGCGGGUUUCAUAAAAGCCAACAAGGAUGGUUGUUGUUGGUUGAUGGUGUUGACUGUUUUUUUUUUUGUUUGACUUUCUUGUGUUUUUUAAGAUGCAUGUGAUUUAUCUGCUAAAAACAAAGGUAGGGUAUUGAAGGGCCUGUAGGCAGUAGUAGAGAAGCACAGAUACAAGACACGUGGCUUGAUUUAAUCUCUGUCGCCCCUCACACCCUCCGCCGCCCCGCCCCCUCCAUGUUCCUAUCGACUAUUUCUUAUAAGAGGUCCCUGAUUCCUACUGUUUCUGGGUCCGGGGGGGGGGGGGCAUGUAUACGACAAUUAUAAACAGAUUACAGUAGCCGCAUUGAAGUGUAUUUUACCAAGCUCCCAUGUUUACUUUUUCACAUCCUGAUUCUGACAUAUUUACCAACUUUAGCGUAGCUUUCAAAGUAAACAAAAUCUGCUAGGCGCCAUGUCCGUUCUAAAUAUGUUGUGACUGUGAUCCUGAGCCCUGCACGCCCCAUGGGGCUGAGAUACAAAGCCACCGAACUGCGUCUGGCCUUUAUCUCAGACUAUGCAGAGUACAGAUUGUGGGAUUGUACCCAUGUGCACCAAUAGGCUUCGAGGCAGGUGUGGAUUGACAGUACAGAGCAAAUUCUCAGAUACAAAUGGUGACGAAGUUAAGAAAAGCAGCCAGAGAUAGAUUUAGGCAACAGCAUUUCUGCAAGUCUUUAUUUCAUUAUAUACAACCGGUGUGUUUGUAAGUACAAGACACUUUGGGUUUCAAUGUGUGUUUGUUUUUCCAUUUGUGUAUUUGUUCUUGAGCAUGGGCAAACACACUUCCCUGCAUGUGAAAGUGUGCUCAACCACUCCCACCAAUUGAAAUACCCGCUGCAAAAUAAUUUCAUUACAUCUCUGGUCAUCUUCACCCAGAUGAAUAGCCACAACCCAAAGCAUGAUUGAAUAGGUAGUAGCUAUAAACAAAAUUGUAAUUCGAAUUAACGGGAAAGCCCGCCAUCUGAUAAUUUUUGAUGGGUUAUAAUAAGUUUAGAAAGAUAGAAUACAUCUGUAUGAAAUAAUAGCAUUGACAAGCAACAGAGUCUCUGUUACCCGAGCAGUUGUAUAUUUUCAUCAACGUGCGCACACGAACAGAUAUGAGACCAUUUGUGCUGAUAAACACUGAACACAAACUCUACAAUUGUCACAACCCAUCAUAGGCGGCGUUCCUCAAGGCUCAGUCCCUUUCUCCACCUUUUAUUUCUCCUCUCCCAUGGUCGUAUUCUCUGUCGGCACAAUGUCUCCUUACACACCUACAUUGAUCCCAGCCAGUUAUACCUCAAAGCCAUCCCAAACAAACAUGCUGCAUCAACUUGCCUAUAUGCCUGCCUGUACGAGUUCAGAGGACAGACAACCUUCUCCAACAGAACACAGAUCCUCCAUGUGGUACCCCUCAUCAAAUCCACGGUGACCCCUCAACCUCCCUUGAUGCCCCUGAUGUCCCGAUCACCACAUCACCGACAUAGAAACCUUGUGUGAGGAGGCAUACGAUCGACACCUAUCUUUCCCUAGAGAAUCAAAUCAAGAACAUUUGAAGAAUUUACUGCUAUCACCUUUGCAACAUCGGCCAACAAAGACCUGCCCAAAGCAAAGCUGAUGGAGAGAUUGCUCAAUAAUGUAUUUAUCACCUCCAGGUGGAUUACUGCAAUAGUAUCCGGGUCGGCUGUCCAAACAAAUCACUCCAAAACACAAAGGCAAAGUAUCAGUCUGUCAGGCCAUCAGUCUGUCGGACUUUAAGUAUUAACUCCAAAGAGAGAAGUAACAGCCUUUGUUUGGAUUUUAUUAUGUUUAAGCUGCUUUAUAUUGUGUCAAGUGUUAUGUUAUGUUUGUCCUGUGAAAACAUAGUCAGUGAAAAUUGCAGAAAAGGUCUACUCCAUUAAUUCCCUUUACCUUAUCACAAACAAAAUUAAACAUAGACACACAGCUGCACAAACACAAAAAUGAGCCCAGUUUGGCUCACAAAGGAAAACAGGCGCAAACCAUUAAACCAAAAUGCCCGCGAAAAAUUGACACACACACACACACACUCACACACACACACACACACACACACACACACACACACACACACACACACACACACACACACACACACACACACACACACACACACACACACACACACACACACACACACACACACACAGUACUGCUUUCAAUACAUAGCUGUUUGUCCAGGUGUGUGUCCACCCAUGAUUGCAGAGCGACGAGUGAGCAACUGAAAGGGCUGCUCCGUACUGAUGUGUGCACAGACAGACACGCACCUGUGACGGAGACACACCUGCAAUACACACACACCUGUCCUCAACGUUCCCAUCUCUCUCUCGCUCUCUCCCUCCGCCCCCUAGCUCUCCCUGUCUCCUUCUCCCUCUCCAUCCAUCAUUCAGCCCAUCCAUUAGUCCUCUCCCUCUUUGAGUUGUGCUCAUCUUUGUGUGCUCUCUCUCUCUCUCUCUCUCUCUCUCUCUCUCUCUCUCUCUCUCUCUCUCUCUCUCUCUCUCUCUCUCUCUCUCUCUCUCGCUCUCUCUUUCUACCUCUCUUUAUACAUUCAACACACACACACACCUGUAUGAACCUCUGCUCGGCUACCCGGGCUGCUGAUUGCUUGCUCCAGCUGGAGGGAUUCCUGGCAGAGUGAUUUUGUUGUGAUGUCAUGUAAAUCACAUUGCCAGGGAUUUCCAACCAGCUGCAGCCCCACUGCAGCACCCAGAGACCCCGAAACAAGAGCACCUCGAUGGGAACAACAACAGGCACAGAACAGGUCUGUUCUGUUCUGACACAAAC